rnacentral:rRNA from 1 species
CGCCAAGCUAUUAGGUGACACUAUAGAAUACUCAAGCUAUGCAUCCAACGCGUUGGGAGCUCUCCCAUAUGGUCGACCUGCAGGCGGCCGCGAAUUCACUAGUGAUUGCCAGAGCCCGCAAGGGCGACGGCGGAUAGUGGCAAACGGGAGCGGAACACAUUGGUAACCUACCUCGGGCUCGUGAACAACCACUGGAAACGGUGGCUAAUACACGAUAUAGAUGGGGGGUCUUCGGACAUUCCCAUUGAAAGCUUCGGCGGCACGAGAGGGGCCUAUGUCCUAUCAGCUUGUUGGUGAGGUAAUGGCUCACCAAGGCUAUGACGGGUACCGGGCGUGAGAGCGUGGCCCGGCUCACUGGGACUGAGACACUGCCCAGACACCUACGGGUGGCUGCAGUCAAGAAUCUUCCGCAAUGCACGAAAGUGUGACGGAGCAAUGCCGCGUGAUUGAUGAAGGCCUUCGGGUCGUAAAAAUCUUUUAUCAGGGACGAACAAAUGACGGUACCUGAUG